CUGCUUCUCCUGGGCUCCCGCUGGCCUUGGCCAAAUAACUGCUGCUGUUUCUUCUCCCCAAAGCCUCCUGUUAAAGCUGGAGCAGGUUCCUAUAUACAGCCUGCAGCCCACGGGGAAAAAUGAUCUUCAGGAGACGGAGUCAGAAACUAGACGCCUGUGUCAUGCUGGGCUGGGAAGAGACGGGAGCAGCCCUGCCCCUGCCCCGCUCUGUGCUGCUGCUUUGCUUCCAGGAUUUCAAGGUUUUGAUUAACAGCCAGGGCCGGCUCCAGGCACCAGGCAACCAAGCACGUGCUUGGGGCAGCACCUGUGUCCUGCUGCAGUCUCAGAUGCCACCGUUCCUGAGAGGGGUCUGGACUCUGCUGCUGCCUCCACUUGGCACAGCCUGUGUCUGGCCUCAACUUCCACCCAUUGCUUGUGUUCGACCUUCCUCUGCUGGACUGCAGGGCCCGGUAUCCAAUAUUUGUUCCCCGUGUAGGUACCUAUAGACUGUGAUCAAGUCACCCCUUCACCUUCUCUUCGGUGUUGAACUCCCAAUGGCUGGAGAUUGUGUAGCAGACGAUGUGACGGAAAUGGGGCUGCUCGGUACUAAUCUAUGAACCGUGUAGGGGACCUGGUUAUCGGGGCAUUCGGUGUAUGACUCUACGGGUGAAAUCAACAGGGCUAUGGAGAAAAAAACAGGACCGCAAAACCAUGACUCAAGACAAAGCACCUCCCUCAAAACACGCCUGAGUUUUUAAGAGACACCACCUGAGCUGUUACCUGGGAAGUUCCCAUGAGCUGCGCGCCAGCCACGUUACACAGCUUGUUUUCCCAGCGUUGGCAGCCAACAGACGGCAAGGACCAUAAACCAUUAAAAAGCCUCUGUCUGUCUAGAGGUGAGAGAGGGCGUGGGGGAGCUGUUUCUGGGAACAGACUGACACACAGACAUGGCUGGAGGUGUCUGAAGAAGCUAGACCUCCCUAGACUCCCACGACAGGGCUUUCGGGAAGAGGGACCUGCACACAGACGGGUUUAAAAUCCUUUUUCUCUUGUGCUUUGUUCCUGCUGUUCAGAUUAAACAAUAGUUUGGUGUAAGCAGCUGAGGGUUACGGUGUUCACCGCUGGAUACACGGGGUGCAGUAGCCCCAGGCCCGACCCGAGUGGGAGAAGGCGAGUCUCCACCCCAGGAGAGGUGAAGGCACGAGGGUGCACUCAGUGAUACAAUUAGUCCUGCAACCUUGACAGCCGGGUUAGCGCACUCCCUGGUAACCAUGGGGUUCAACUCCACUUCCCCCUCCCCUUGCACAGGGAUUCAGGGAAGGGCUGUCGGAGCAGCUUGCGGGGGUGGGGGGGAGGAGGGAUGGGAGGUGGUCAGGCCCUGCCCCCCAUGUUCACAGGCGGGUGAAU